rnacentral:rRNA from 1 species
UAACGGCCCACCAAGGCACCGAUGGGUAGCUGGUUUGAGAGAGCGACCAGCCACACUGGGACUGAGAAACGGCCCAGACUCCUACGGGAGGCAGCAGUGAGGAAUUUUCCGCAAUGGGCGAAAGCCUGACGGAGCGACGCCGCGUGUGGGAAGAAGGCCUUCGGGUCGUAAAACACUGUCGAAGGGGAAGAUAUUGACGAUACCCUUGGAGGAAGCCCCGGCUAACUACGUGCCAGCAGCCGCGGUAAGACGUAGGGGGCAAGCGUUAUUCGGAAUUAUAGAAAGAAAAGCGCUCGUAGGCGGGACAGGAAGUCCGUGUUGAAGACCUCGGGCUCAACUGAGGGACCGGCGCGGAUACUCUUGUUCUUGAGGCAAUCAGAGGGUGAUGGAAUUCCCGGUGUAGCGGUGAAAUG